GUAGGUGGCAAGCGUUGUCCGGAAUUAUUGGGCGUAAAGCGCGCGCAGGCGGUCCUUUAAGUCUGAUGUGAAAGCCCACGGCUCAACCGUGGAGGGUCAUUGGAAACUGGGGGACUUGAGUACAGAAGAGGAAAGCGGAAUUCCAAGUGUAGCGGUGAAAUGCGUGGAGAUUUGGAGGAACACCAGUGGCGAAGGCGGCUUUCUGGUCUGUAACUGACGCUGAGGCGCGAAAGCGUGGGGAGCAAACAGGAUUAGAUACCCUGGUAGUCCACGCCGUAAACGAUGAGUGCUAAGUGUUAGGGGGUUUCCCGCCCCCUUAGUGCUGCAGCUAACGCAUUAAGCACUCCGCCUGGGGAGUACGGCCCGCAAGGCUG
rnacentral:rRNA from 1 species